rnacentral:misc_RNA from 1 species
AACGCACCUUGCGCCCCUUGGUAUUCCGAGGGGCAUGCCUGUUUGAGUGUCUUGAAAUCAUCAAGCCGUCGGGUUCGUUCCCGCGUCUUGGACUUGGGGGCUCUUGCUGCCGUGAGGCGGCUCCCCUUAAAUCCAUCGGUCGGCUCCUGCUUGAGCGCGUCCUGGCGUUGUACACACCUCGCUGGAUAAGCUGCCCUUGUGGACCGGCCCCGACCUGCUGCAGAGUGGCGGUCACAUACUUUGAAAUCUGACCUCAAAUCAGGUAGGACUACCCGCUGAACUUAA